rnacentral:rRNA from 1 species
AGUCGAACGAGCCCUUCGGGGUUAGUGGCGCACGGGUGCGUAACGCGUGGGAAUCUGCCCUUGGGUUCGGAAUAACUCGCCGAAAGGCGUGCUAAUACCGGAUGAUGUCGAAAGACCAAAGAUUUAUCGCCCAAGGAUGAGCCCGCGUAAGAUUAGGUAGUUGGUGAGGUAAAGGCUCACCAAGCCGACGAUCUUUAGCUGGUCUGAGAGGAUGAUCAGCCACACUGGGACUGAGACACGGCCCAGACUCCUACGGGAGGCAGCAGUGGGGAAUAUUGGACAAUGGGCGAAAGCCUGAUCCAGCAAUGCCGCGUGAGUGAUGAAGGCCUUAGGGUUGUAAAGCUCUUUUACCCGGGAUGAUAAUGACAGUACCGGGAGAAUAAGCUCCGGCUAACUCCGUGCCAGCCGCCGCGGUAA